rnacentral:misc_RNA from 1 species
GUGAAACAGUUAGAGCUAUAACUGGUAAGUUCUCUGUAUUUCCCAUGCAUGAUUGGUUUCAUAUUUCUUACAAACCAAAACAAACUGUCUAUUCAGUUCAACCUGAUUUGGUUUGUCAAUUUGCAUUCAAUGAUGAACACCUCAAAUUUACCUGUUGUAUUUGUUGUGACAAUUUCUUUGAUGUUUCCUGAUGUGAAUUGCAAAUUAUUUUGGUUAUUGAAUUUUGGCUUUGUAAUAAUAAAGCUCUCAUAUGACUCUUUUCAUGUCAAAAUCAGAGUUCAAUUUAUGUAAAGAAAGGAAACAUUAUCAUAUUUUCUGGACAAGCAAAGGUAAAAAAGAUGUAUUCUCAUGGAGAAUUUGCCUAGAAUUUGUUGUGGAGGUUUGGUUGGGUAUUUAUUUUAUCAAGUUGCUUGUAAGUUCAGAUUACACCCUUGAUCGAACUUCCUUGAAACUAAUUUAAAAACUGAUUAUUCACCCAUGUAAACACUGACUGCAUCAGCUGGUAACUUUAGCCAGAAGAUAGCUUAUAUGAAUUAUUGAAAUAUUUCCUGAUAUGAACAACAUUUCCUUAUCUCAUAUGCAAGCAACAUGUUAUGUACUUGUUCUUUUCUUUUUAAAUAGAACAAUUUUUACUUGCAUAAGCAUUAAUAAUUUUAAGUUGCCUACUGUGUUGAAGAUGCUCGAAAGACUUAACAGUCAGUUUGACAGUAGAUUUAGCCCAGCUAGAUUAGUUGGUGUUUGGAAAUUAGUUCACCUUUUCAGUUUUGAUUCCGUGCAUAAUGCGUUAGCAGCUAUUGUGGCUGAGUGAAUUUUCAGUGCAAGGAUCUUGUGUCCCCCCUUUUUCAAUUGUCCGGUAACUUUCUGUUUUGGUCUUGCAGCUGCUAUUGAGAAAGAUUU